rnacentral:rRNA from 1 species
UACGUAGGUGGCAAGCGUUGUCCGGAUUUAUUGGGUUUAAAGGGUGCGUAGGCGGUUUUUUAAGUCAGUGGUGAAAUACGGCAGCUCAACUGUCGAGGUGCCAUUGAUACUGGGAAACUUGAGUACUGAUGAGGUAGGCGGAAUGGACGGUGUAGCGGUGAAAUGCGUAGAUAUUGGGAGGAACACCAGUGGCGAAGGCGGCUCACUGGACCGGUACUGACGCUGAUGCGCGAAAGCGUGGGGAGCAAACGGGG